GACGAACGCUGGCGGCGUGCUUAACACAUGCAAGUCGAGCGGAGCGUUGAACGGGUGAGUAACGCGUGAGUAACUGCCCCCCUCCCUGGGAUAACAGUUGGAAACGGCUGCUAAUACCGGUUAGUGGGGGAUGACUCGCGUCCUCUCAGCUUGUUGGUGGGGUGGUGGCCUACCAAGGCGACGACGGGUAGCCGGCCUGAGAGGGAGACCGGCCAAAUUGGGCGGAGAUACGGCCCAAACUCCUACGGGAGGCAGCAGUGGGGAAUAGUGCACAAUGGGGGAAGCCAGGAUGCAGGAACGCCGCGUGCGGGAUGACGGCCUUCGGGUUGUAAACCGCUUUCAGCCAUGACGCGGUAGGGGCAGAAGAAGCACCGGCUAACUACGUGCCAGCAGCCGCGGUAAUAC
rnacentral:rRNA from 1 species